rnacentral:rRNA from 1 species
AUUGAACGCUGGCGGCAUGCUUUACACAUGCAAGUCGAACGGUAACAGACCGCAAGGUGCUGACGAGUGGCGAACGGGUGAGUAAUGCAUCGGAACGUGCCCAGUCGUGGGGGAUAACGCAGCGAAAGCUGUGCUAAUACCGCAUACGAUCUGUGGAUGAAAGCGGGGGACCGUAAGGCCUCGCGCGAUUGGAGCGGCCGAUGUCAGAUUAGGUAGUUGGUGGGGUAAAGGCCUACCAAGCCGACGAUCUGUAGCUGGUCGGAGAGGACGACCAGCCACACUGGGACUGAGACACGGCCCAGACUCCUACGGGAGGCAGCAGUGGGGAAUUUUGGACAAUGGGCGCAAGCCUGAUCCAGCAAUGCCGCGUGCAGGAAGAAGGCCUUCGGGUUGUAAACUGCUUUUGUACGGAACGAAACGGUCUGGGUUAAUACCCUGGGCUAAUGACGGUACCGUAAGAAUAAGCACCGGCUAACUACGUGCCAGCAGCCGCCGUAAGAC